AACACCCACUUCUGAUCAGAAUUUGGAUAUGGGACCAUCACCAAUGAUUCCAGAAGGGCCGAAAACCCUGGGGGUGGUAGAGAUUUCGUCCAAAUCGCCCGAAAUUGACAGAUCGAAUCCCGAGGGGCCGAAAACUGAUUUUUCAAUUAACCCUUCCACAGAGCUCAAACAGGGACACGCGCCCGACCAUCAGAUUACCCAUGAAAAGGCGA
rnacentral:lncRNA from 1 species